CCUACGGGUGGCAGCAGUAGGGAAUAUUGCUCAAUGGGGGAAACCCUGAAGCAGCAACGCCGCGUGGAGGAUGAAGGUUCUCGGAUUGUAAACUCCUUUUGUUAGAGAAGAUAAUGACGGUAUCUGACGAAUAAGCACCGGCUAACUCCGUGCCAGCAGCAGUGGUAAUACGGAGGGUGCAAGCGUUACUCGGAAUCACUGGGGGUAAAGAGCGCGUAGGCGGGAUAGCAAGUCAGAUGUGAAAUCCUAUGGCUUAACCAUAGAACUGCAUUGGAAACUGGUAUUCUAGAGUGUGGGAGAGGUAGGUGGAAUUCGUGGUGUAGCGGUGAAAUCCGUAGAGAUCAAGAGGAAUACUCAUUGCGAAGGCGACCUGCUGGAACGUAACUGACGCUGAGGCGCGAAAGCGUGGGGAGCAAACAGGAUUAGAUACCCCAGUAGUC
rnacentral:rRNA from 1 species